rnacentral:lncRNA from 1 species
GCCUUUAAAAACCAAUAGGUCCUGGAUUCGAUUCUCACAAAGGUUUUUCUUAUUUAUUGAAUUUUCUCCUGAAUUGUUGUAUAGGCGUGAUCGAGUGGUUCCGCUGGUGGCAUGAUAAUACUUCAGUGCCUGGUGGCAUUUUAGGGUGGGAUAAACCUUUAGAACCAAUAGGUCCUGGAUUCGAUUCCCACAAAGGUUUUUCUUAUUUAUUGGAUUUUCUCCUGAAUUGUUGUAUAGGCGUGAUCGAGUGGUUCCGCUGGUGGCAUGAUAAUACUUCAGUGGUCCGCCAGUUAUCCAAAUUUGCCGUUAAAAAAAAUCAUAUCUAUUUCUUUUGAAAAAAUAAAUAUAUUAAACACCGGAACCUAGGUCAACUUUGAUACUCUGGUUAUCUUUUUUUUUUGGUCCUUUAUGAACCUAGCUCAAAUUGGAUACUGUAUUCAACUGUUAGUUCCCAUUAGAAUUUAAUAAUGCAUCCUACUGUUCUGGAUAAAAUUUCAUGUAUAGAAGCAACUCAUAAAUUUUCAGUCUUCAGUUCUUUAAUAAGUAGAUUGUCACAUUCAUUAAAGGCCAACCACUUUUUAAUAACGUAAAAAUCAUAGAAAAUUUUUAUAUUGUUUUAUAAAGUUAUUCAAAAUUUUCAUCACUAAAACUACUUUAAUGUAAAUAUUGAUGAAUUUGUUUUUUUCUUUUUUAUAAUUUUCACAUCAGGUUCAAAGUGGGUGAGCCAGAGAAACAGAUAAUUAUCAAACUUACUUACUAUUUAGAAUUGAAACAUAAAAAUAUCACUAAACAUUAUUCGUAAUAUUACUCUUUGUUUUAACCGGUUGUGAAAAUAUACAUAAUGCAAGAAAUUAAAUAUGGAGUUCAUUAUAGAAUUGA